GUAUUCAUCAUCAUGCUUCUGAAAGUGGCACCUGCGUUUGCGUUAUUGAACACCCAUGAGGAAAAUUUGAGUUCCGUGAUAUCAUUUUCUUCACAUGGAUCUGCUUUGAAGAAUUUUUCGGCAAAAAACGGAAAUGGAUUGGUUGUAUGUGCUUCAAAGGGUUCGAACAGUAAACCGUUGACGGGUGUUGUUUUCGAACCUUUUGAAGAGGUGAAGAAAGAGCUUAUGCUUGUACCUACUGUUCCUCAAGCUUCUCUUGCUAGACAGAAGUUUACUGAUCAAUCUGAAGCUGCUCUUAAUGAACAGAUCAAUGUCGAAUACAAUGUUUCGUAUGUUUACCAUGCUAUGUAUGCCUAUUUCGACAGAGACAAUGUUGCUCUCAAGGGA
rnacentral:misc_RNA from 1 species